rnacentral:rRNA from 1 species
GAAGUAAAAGUCGUAACAAGGUCUCCGUUGGUGAACCAGCGGAGGGAUCAUUAUAGAGUUGACCCUAACUCCAUACCCUUUGUGAAAAUACCUUUUAUGUUGCUUCGGCAGGCCUGGAAAGGUCUGCCGGAGAUCUAUGAACUUCUGUUUUAUGAUAAGUUACUCUGAAAUUAUGUGGGAAAAUAAAGUUAAAACUUUCAACAACGGAUCUCUUGGUUCUGGCAUCGAUGAAGAACGCAGCGAAAUGCGAUAGGUAAUGUGAAUUGCAGAACUCAGUGAAUCAUCGAAUUUUUGAACGCACAUUGCGCCCACUAGUAUUCUGGUGGGCAUGCCUGUUCGAGCGUCAUUUCAAACCCUUAUGCCUCUGUUGCAUAGUGUUGGGGGAUUAUCCUACCUUGGUAGAAUAACCUCUGAAAGUGAGUGGCGGAGUUGUCUUAUUCUCUGGAUGUAGUAGUUAAAUCUUUUAAUCUCACCAAUAGAAUAAGCCGACGUCUAGCCAGAAAACCCAUUGUUUUAUACUGGUUGACCUCGGAUCAGGUAGGAAUACCCGCUGAACUUAAGCAUAUCAAUAAGCGGAGGAA